CGUAGGUGACCUGCGGAAGGAUCAUUACUGAGUGAGGGCCCUCUGGGUCCAACCUCCCACCCGUGUUUAUUUACCUUGUUGCUUCGGCGGGCCCGCCUUAACUGGCCGCCGGGGGGCUUACGCCCCCGGGCCCGCGCCCGCCGAAGACACCCUCGAACUCUGUCUGAAGAUUGUAGUCUGAGUGAAAAUAUAAAUUAUUUAAAACUUUCAACAACGGAUCUCUUGGUUCCGGCAUCGAUGAAGAACGCAGCGAAAUGCGAUACGUAAUGUGAAUUGCAAAUUCAGUGAAUCAUCGAGUCUUUGAACGCACAUUGCGCCCCCUGGUAUUCCGGGGGGCAUGCCUGUCCGAGCGUCAUUGCUGCCCUCAAGCACGGCUUGUGUGUUGGGCCCCGUCCUCCGAUUCCGGGGGACGGGCCCGAAAGGCAGCGGCGGCACCGCGUCCGGUCCUCGAGCGUAUGGGGCUUUGUCACCCGCUCUGUAGGCCCGGCCGGCGCUUGCCGAUCAACCCAAAUUUUUAUCCAGGUUGACCUCGGAUCAGGUAGGGAUACCCGCUGAACUUAAGCAUAUCAAA
rnacentral:rRNA from 1 species